rnacentral:rRNA from 1 species
AGAAUCAACGCUGGCGGCGUGCCUAACACAUGCAAGUCGAACGCGAAAGCCCCGCAAGGGGUUAGUAGAGUGGCAAACGGGUGAGUAACACGUGGGUGACCUGCCUUCGAGUGGGGGAUAACGUCCCGAAAGGGACGCUAAUACCGCAUGAUAUCCCGCCUUUGGAAAGGUGGAGAUCAAAGCGUGGGGAUCGCAAGACCUGGCGCUUGAAGGAGGGGCCCGCGCCUGAUUAGCUAGUUGGUAGGGUAACGGCCUACCAAGGCGACGAUCAGUA